ACAGUCCACUCACAGAGCAGCAACAUGGCCGUACAAUAGCCAGGCUCUCCCAGGACUAAAUACUCAAAUAAAUGUUCUCUUUAUUCAAGCUUGGGCUACCAUUUCAUUGCAGAGUUUUGUUAAUUCAACAAAUUCUAUGAAACUGUCUUAUCUGAUGAGGAAACCAAGACACAGAGAAGAUAAACAACUUGCCUGAAGUCACAAAUGGCACUACAGUUGUGAUGAGGCAAUUGCAACAUUUGAAAAGACCCCAGGGAGUUUGCAUUAAAUGCGUUUCACAAGAGUGAAUGAUGGAACAGAACACCAUGUACAAAGACACAGUCAUCCAACACCCAAGCACAAAUGGCACAAGUUAAACAUGUGACGGCUUGAUGUAUGACAGGUGACCCACCAGAAGGACUGUACUCAUGAUGGAGAAUGAGG
rnacentral:lncRNA from 10 species